ACUGGACAGUUACACUUGUGUUUAUUUUCAUAAGCCAGGGGUCAGUUAAAAAAGAUGAGUGCUCAAUCCUGUUUCAGUCUGCAGAAGAAACCGUGACUCUAUAAAAUAGUCUGAUUAUCAGAAAAACAUAUUUUAUACAGUACAUGGAAGUGCUUUUAUUUAGCAGAACAAUGAACAGCCUUGUUUGUUAACAAAAUUCAUAGCACCGGCGUGACAUUUGUUGUCAAGCAACAAAUAUCUGUCUGUUGUCUUUCGGAAAAGCAGUUUGCCGAGACAUGUUUUUGGGGAAACAUUUCGCAACAAAUCCUGCUUCCUACUGUUGUCAUCCGUAAUAAUAAGUGAUCACAUGAACAAGAACCUUGAUGUGCUGACACCACUGUUCUUAUGGAUGAACAGCUCUGUGGUCAACAGCCACCUGUGACGUCGCUUCUAGAGCUGUGAUUUGUUCUGCAGCAUGGAAAUCUGAGAGAAGAAAAUUAAAACUGGAAUGAAGGAAUAAAAAUUAUUUUGUUGA